rnacentral:rRNA from 1 species
UACCUGCAGCCCCAAGUGGUGCUCGUUAUUAUUGGGUCUAAAACGUCCGUAGUCGGCUGAGUAGAUGCCCGGGUAAAUCGAAGCGCUUAACGUUUCGAAUUCCGGGUAGACCGCUCGGCUAGGGAGUGGGAGAGGUGCGAGGUACUCUGAGGGUAGGGGUAAAAUCCUGUAAUCCUUGGAGGACCACCAGUGGCGAAGGCGUCGCACUAGAACACGUCCGACGAUCAGGGACGAAGCCCUGGGGCGCAAACGGGAUUAGAUACCCGUGUAGU